rnacentral:rRNA from 1 species
ACUCCUACGGGAGGCAGCAGUGGGGAAUAUUGCACAAUGGGGGAAACCCUGAUGCAGCCAUGCCGCGUGUGUGAAGAAGGCCUUCGGGUUGUAAAGCACUUCAGUAGGGAGGAAGGUAGUGUAGUUAACACCUGCAUUAUUUGACGUUACCUACAGAAGAAGCACCGGCUAACUCCGUGCCAGCAGCCGCGGUAAUACGGAGGGUGCGAGCGUUAAUCGGAAUUACUGGGCGUAAAGCGCAUGCAGGCGGCCUGUUAAGUCAGAUGUGAAAGCCCGGGGCUUAACCUCGGAAUUGCAUUUGAAACUGGCAGGCUAGAGUCUUGUAGAGGGGGGUAGAAUUUCAGGUGUAGCGGUGAAAUGCGUAGAGAUCUGAAGGAAUACCAGUGGCGAAGGCGGCCCCCUGGACAAAGACUGACGCUCAGAUGCGAAAGCGUGGGGAGCAAACAGGAUUAGAUACCCUGGUAGGAUAGCG